GCAGCCUUGGGGAAUAUUGACUUCAAACCCCUGUGUUACAGCUGAGGAAACUGAGGAGUAAAUAGUGGGCGGAAGAUGCUCUAUCAUCUCAUUUUACAGAUGGGGAAACUGAAGCUUAGAGAGAUUAAGUUGGUACAGAUGGUAAGCAGCAGGAUUUGAACUUCACAAUCUAAUGCCUUUUCUACUCCACCUAAGAUUUCAGAGAAUUCAACAGAAAGUUAUAUCCACAAUUCACUGCUACAUUCUCCCCUCAUGGAGCUGCAAUGGGAAUCCAAAAGCUCUUCAAGGAAAAGACAGAGAUAAGAAAAUAGCUGAGUGAAAGGAAGCUAUUUAGUUAUAGGACUAACUGCUGACUGAUUCUCUUUCUCCAAUUCCCUUAUUCAAAUGUUUUUUUUUUUUUUUGGUUACCUCUUGAUUCUGUGAAGAUAUGGAAUGGUAAGCUGUAAAUAAAUCAACCUGCAUAUAUAAGAACCUA